UACGUAGGGAGCAAGCGUUGUCCGGAAUCAUUGGGCGUAAAGCGCGCGUAGGUGGCCUCAUAAGUCCGCUGUGAAAGUCAAAGGCUCAACCUUUGAAAGCCGGUGGAUACUGUGAGGCUAGAGUACGGAAGAGGCGAGUGGAAUUCCUGGUGUAGCGGUGGAAUGCGUAGAUAUCGUUUGGAACGCCAAUGGUGAAAACAGACAGCUGGGAGUGUGCUGACGCUGAGACACGAAAGCCAGGGGAGCGAACGGG
rnacentral:rRNA from 1 species